UGAUCUUAACUUUCUAGGAACAGCUGUAAUAUCUAGGAUUUCCAUUCCAUGUUGGAAAAUUGACAAAAAAUAUUGUUGUUUAUACAAGGAAACCUCAUUUUACUUGAUUGUCUUGUAUGAUAAAAAAGCAAAAUUGUUUUUGAGCAUUAAAACAGAUACAGUAUGUUAAAAGUUUGUUCUGGAUUUAAUCCAAGUACAGAGAUGUCUGCAAAGAAGUUAAAAGGAGUGGGUAAAUUAAGUCGUAGAAAACGACCCCCUGGGUUAACCAUUCAGAAGAUUCCUGAACCCCAACCAGCUACACCUCCAAGAGAUCUAGAUUCCAAAGCUACAAUCAGAAUAGAUGAGAAGGAAUUUGAAAUUGAGGCAAAUGAUUUGGAGUUUAUGUGUGUACUUGGCCGAGGGGCCUAUGGGGUUGUGGAGAAAGUUCGGCAUAGACAUACCAAUACAAUCAUGGCUGUUAAAAGAAUUACAGCCACAGUGAACACAAUGGAACAGAAGAGAUUGUUGAUGGAUUUGGACAUAUCAAUGAGGAGUGGAUCCUGCCCAUACACUGUCACAUUUUAUGGUGCCCUCUUUAGAGAGGGAGAUGUAUGGAUAUGUAUGGAAGUGAUGGAUGCAUCAUUAGAUAAAUUUUACCAAACAGUUUACAAUAACGACCGGAGUAUACCAGAAGAUGUCUUAGGGAAAAUCUCAUAUGCUGUUAUAAAGGCCUUGGAUUACCUUCAUACAGAAUUACAUGUUAUACAUAGAGACGUUAAACCCUCAAAUAUAUUAAUAAAUAGAAAAGGACAAGUAAAAAUCUGUGAUUUUGGAAUUAGUGGUUACCUCGUAGAUUCUGUGGCAAAAACUAUAGAAGCUGGAUGUAAACCUUACAUGGCACCAGAGAGGAUAGAUCCUCAGACAGGCCAGCAAGGUUAUGAUAUUAAAUCUGAUGUCUGGAGCUUUGGAAUCACUAUGAUAGAGUUAGCCUCAGGGAAAUUCCCAUAUGCUGCCUCCCCGACUCCAUUUGAGCAACUCAAGCAGGUGGUAAAGGAUCCGCCACCAAAAUUGCCUGCUGGAAAAUUCUCAUCAGACUUUGAAGACUUUAUUGCUCAGUGUCUAAAGAAGUCAGUGUCGGAGAGAGCCAGCUACCAGAUGUUAUUGCAGCAUCCAUUCUUGCAAAAGGCGGAAAAAUCCGAAGUUGACAUGUCCAGUUACGUUACCGAGGUGCUAAAGGACGUGAAAACAAAUGACGGCGCAUCAGGACAAUGAUGUUAAUAUUUAGUCUAGUGUUUUAAAUCAGAAAAUUUUUUAACUAUAUAUUAUGAAAAAUAUUUAUUUUUGGAAUUGAUUAGCGACGAUUGAGUUUCUUACCACGUUGUAAGAAAGUGCUGUAGAUUUAAUUCGAAGCGGAGGAGAAAGAAAAGAUUUAGACACUGAUGCCUUAGGCUGUCUUUGAAGACUGUUUGCUUCACCCACAUCUAGUUAUCCUUUAAAGAAAUUGUCAUUUCAGGUUUGCACUGGUACAGAAUCCAGGAACACUGGUUAGGUUAAUUGCCUGCCAUUACAUAGCUAAAAUACUGUUGAAAAAAAAAACAACAAACAAACCAACAAUAAACAAUGUUACAGGCUGGGAAUUUAGGAAAAAAGAACUAUUUAUGUUUGAAGCAAACAGUUUUAAAGAUUACUUUAAUACCAAGUAUGACUUGUGUGUUUCUAGUAAGAGAUGUGUAGAAGUAAAUGUGAUUGAAUGCACAAAUAUAGAGUGAAAUAUCAAUGGACAUAUGUUAGAGAUUGUUAGAAAAUUGACUUAAGUUGUUAAACAUUAUAAUUGUCAUAUCUCAUUCGAAUAAUAAAUUUUCAGGUACUGUUAACCUUUAGACUGCUGGUGGCAAGUGAUUCUGCCUUUGCAACCAGUGCAGACCAAGAUCAGCCUGCAUGUCCAUGCAGGCUGAUCAUGGUCUGCACUGUUUGCUAUUCAGUCAGUAAUUUUCAGAGAACACCUCUUCAAAUAAUGAAUGGUAUUGCCCAAAUUGAAUGAUGGACCAGUCCAUUUUAGAAAUUUAGCAGGGUAAAGGUUAAAGAUAGCACUCCAUACAUAAUUACUGGUGGUUAUGUUUGACCUCUGUUACCUGUAAUUUCUGACAGCUGAAACAUUGUUGUCUUUCUUUUACCACUUUCAUAAUAGGUCUAUUUUUCUGUGAAAAUGUUACGUAAGACCGGACGAAAAUCAUUCAUGUGCAAAAAAUCAUUUUUAUCCAAUUCAUUUCAUGGGGGAAAAAGGUCAGUUUCUUUUUACUUAGAAAGUGGGUUAUCUUGUCCAACCAUCAGUUACCAUUUAUAAUAUUGAAAACAACUUUAAACAAAACUUAAUGUAUUAACAGCAGUCAUAAUAACAGCAGAAUGAUGGGAGCAUCAGCUGCUAAAAUUAUGAUUUCAUGGACUGAUUCAAGCAUGAAGUCCACAAAAAUAAGUCGAGAAAGUCCCCACGAAUGUGAAUGAUUACACAAUUGAUGGAAAAGGAUUUAAAAUAUAGAAAAAUGAAGUAAAGCCUGUAUCCAUGGUAAUUCCAGAUAUACAGUUUCAGUUUCAUUUGAAACCCCUAUCGGUACAAUGCUACUUGUAUAAUGUUUUACCAUGUUUUUCUUCAAGGAAAACUCUUAGAAAAAUUGUACCAUCUAUAAGUACAUACUAUUGAAAUUAGAACUUCUUUGUAUGAGUCAUAUAGAUUUAACUUCCCCUUUAUAUUUGUGGUAUAUAAUACCUUGACUUCAGUUUUUCCCCUCUAUUAACCAGAAUGUAGUUUCAUUGAUGAAUAGAAAUGAAUAAUUUCAUGAGUAUUCCACAUACUUUUCCAUAUGAAAUUAUUGUUGUGUCCUAAGAAAAAAAAGUGACCAGAGUGUAACCUAAGUAUGAUCGAAUAACCACUUUUUUCCCCUUAAAUUGAGAAGAAUGGGUCAACACAUAGUCUCAGGUUCAAUAGAAGUUUGCCAUAUUUUGUGCUCGGAGAACAUGUUUCCUUUUGGAGAUUUGAAUACCUCAGAAAAUCUGUAGCCAUCUCACUAUAAAGCUAUAAAUGUUCCUUACUGGGUUUUGGUGAGAAUUGUUAAUAUCUUCCAGUUGUACAGAAUUUGUCAUAAAUCAUGUACAUUAAAAAGUAUCAAAAAAAUGUGUGAAAACCUACAUUAGAUAUUUAAAUAUUUAUAGAAUCGUGUGUUAAAGUAUUGAUUUUGUUCACAAGCUUAAAAGCAUCUUUUUUUUCCCCUUAGAAAGUUAGUUAACCUAGGUGAUUUUUAAAAGUUGAAAUUUUUUAUCAGGAAGUUGAUAUUAAAAGCAAGUACAAGUUUUAACACAUGUUAAGAGGACUGCACUUUAACCCAUAGUUGCAGUAGUGAUGUGGAAUGCACAGAAGUUCAUGAUAACAGGAACACUUCACAUCUAAAUACUACUUCUGGGCACUUUGCAGUUUCUGGUUUCCUUAUACAAUUUAUGAUUACCAAAUGCUUGAUCUGGAACCUGUAAAUCAUAGAUAAAGAUAAUUUAACAAGUAAUGAUAAGUUUUAUGCAUGUAGCCACUGAUGUCAUUAUUUUGAUUACAAAGAAAGUGUUGAAUAAUUCAGUUAAUAAUUAAUAUAAAAUGGAAUUUCAUGUUUUCAUUUUCUUUGAAAUUCUAUUUUUAUAUCCUUUGAUUAUGAUUUUGAAAAAGAUAAUAGUGUGAUAGAUGACCUCAUAUCAGCUGAUACAGGCCCAGAUUAAGGUCAGAAUAAUUUUGUACUGUGCACACAUAUUUACCAUUUUAGUCAUGCAUAUUAAAUUUCCACUGUAAAUAAUAGGAAUUUAUUGUACAUAUAUUAUAAUCAUACAAUAAAUUAUAACAUUUGAGAUGUAUGCUUCGAAAGAUUUGAAGGUAUAAAUAAUGUCAUAAUUUAGUUACAACAUUAUAAAUAUGCAUGUUUUAUCAUUCUCUAUGAAAAAGUUAUGUAAUGGAAAUUAUUAAAAAAAGAUGCCAUUUA
rnacentral:misc_RNA from 1 species